GUCAUUGCGAUAGUAAUCCUGCUCAGUACGAGAGGAACCGCAGGUUCGGACAUUUGGUUCACGCAUUCGAUCGAGCGGCCGGUGGUGCGAAGCUACCAUCCGUGGGAUUAUGCCUGAACGCCUCUAAGGCCGUAUCCUCUCUAGUUGAAGGUGGCAAUAAU
rnacentral:ncRNA from 1 species